AUGAUAGAGAAAGUGGUUCCGGGAAUAAAAGAAGUGUGGCCCGCAGAUGAUAUUGGCCCAAUAUUGAUCCAACAGGACAACGCGAAGACACAUAUUCUUCCCGGUGAUGCAGAGUUUGCAGAAGCUGUGGCUACAACUGUUCUGGACAUUAGAAUAAUACAACAACCUCCAAAUUCUCCAGAUCUGAACGCACUUGAUCUUGGAUAUUUCAGAUCCCUUGAGUCUUUGACCGACUGCAGAGCCCCUACGACUAUCAAAGAACUGAUUCAAGGUGUGCAGGAAGAGUUCGAUGAGUACGAUGUCAAUAAACUCAACCGAAUAUUUCUAACACUUCAGACCAUCAUGGUUGAAGUGAUGAACUAUGGCGGAGGAAACCAUAAAAUUCCACAUUUGCGGAAGGAGAGAUUGGAAAGGCAAGGAAUGCUACCGCCUAUGAUACAUUUCCCUCGUGAAGUUUAUGAUAAUGCCAUGGAGAUUCUAGGACAAGAUGUCGAGUGA
rnacentral:rRNA from 1 species